UAAAUUCUAAAUGCAUUUUCCAAUACAUUUACUAUGUUACGACUUAUCUCACAUUAAAAUGAGAGCGACGGGCGAUGUGUACAUAUUAUAGAGCUAAUAUCAUUAUACCUUAUUAAAACAUAAUUACACUUAAGUCCACCUUCCUACACAACAUUCAGUCAUAUAUCCGUAUAUCUUAACGAUAUUGUAACCCAUUAUUUUCCUCUCCAUCCGCUGCACCUUGAUCUAAUAUUUUAGUAAAAACUAUUUUAAUAGUUCUUUAUAAAGACCAUCUAAUAAUGACGGUAUACAUACUGACUUAACCAAGAAAGGUAAGAUACUUCGUGGUUUAUCGUUUAUAAAACAGGUUCCCCUAACUAGACUAAAAUACCGCCAAAUCCUUUAAGUUUCAAGAACAUAACCGAUUACUACUCAAGCAUAUCUAAUUUUCAGUAAAGUAUAACAGGGUAUCUAAUCCUAAUUUAAGCCUAAACCUUCAUAAUUUCAAAACAUUUUAAAAUUAAAGCCACUUACCUAAAAACACUAAAUUUCACCUUUUAUUUUAAUAAACUACUCCUCCAUUUAACUCUUUUAAUUAUUUAACUUAUAAACUUUCACUUGCCCUAUUAGUCUAACCGCGGCUGCUGGCACAGAUUUAGCCUGGACUUCUUCAAUCACUAAUUCAAACAUUAAUUCAUUGAUUAAUUUCUUAUACUGAACCUAAAAAAAUUAAAUUUUAUACUUCACCUCUCAUAACUUAUUUUACGUAUAUAUUAAUUAAAUAGUAAAAGCCGAGCAAAAAUCAAACUCACU
rnacentral:rRNA from 1 species